rnacentral:rRNA from 1 species
UGGGGAAUAUUGCACAAUGGGCGCAAGCCUGAUGCAGCCAUGCCGCGUGUAUGAAGAAGGCCUUCGGGUUGUAAAGUACUUUCAGUCGGGAGGAAGGUGUCAAGGUUAAUAACCUUGGCAAUUGACGUUACCGACAGAAGAAGCACCGGCUAACUCCGUGCCAGCAGCCGCGGUAAUACGGAGGGUGCAAGCGUUAAUCGGAAUUACUGGGCGUAAAGCGCACGCAGGCGGUUGAUUGAGUCAGAUGUGAAAUCCCCGGGCUUAACCCGGGAAUUGCAUCUGAUACUGGUCAGCUAGAGUCUUGUAGAGGGGGGUAGAAUUCCAUGUGUAGCGGUGAAAUGCGUAGAGAUGUGGAGGAAUACCGGUGGCGAAGGCGUCCCCCUGGACAAAGACUGACGCUCAGGUGCGAAAGCGUGGGGAGCAAACAGG